rnacentral:lncRNA from 1 species
UUAGACAUAAGAACUUGAGUCUUUCAGAGUGCUCUCUCUCUCUCUCUCCUCUUUCUCUCUGGUGGUGCGUAAGUCAUUUUCUCUACAAUCCACCUCCAGUAGGAGCUUGUGCUAUAUAAGUAUGUUUUAAGCUUGUAUUUGCUUAUGUAUGAUGCGUGUGAUUAUUUUAUGAAGUUUAUAAAAUAUGAAUCCUUUGGUGUUUGUAUAUUCUGAUUUUCUAUCCAUACUUUAUUUGUGGUAUCUUCUAUUUAAGUGUGUUAUCUUCUAUUUAAGUGUUUCAUCUUCCAUUUGUUAUUUAUCUUCCAUUUUUGUCUUUUGUGUUUGUAUAUUUUGAUCUUCUAUCCAUACUUUAUUUGUGUUAUCUUCCAUGUAAGUGUGUUAUCUUCCAUUUAAGUGUUUUAUCUUCCAUUUAUUAUUAACCUUCCAUUUUUUCAAACAUACUAGAUCUGUGAUGGUCAAAACAUCACACGGAACAGCAACGGACGAUCGGGUCCAAUCAAUAAACCACCAUAGGCAUAGCAAG